GGGUGAGUAACACGUAGGGAACCUGCCCGUGCACCGGGAAUACGCUCUGGAAACGGAGAACAAAUCCCGAUGUACAGGAAGGAGGCAUCUUCUUUCUGUGAAACAUCCUUUAGGGGAUGGGGCGCGGAUGGACCUGCGGUGCAUUAGUUGGUUGGCGGGGUAAAGGCCCACCAAGACGAUGAUGCAUAGCCGGCCUGAGAGGGCGGACGGCCACAUUGGGACUGAGACACGGCCCAGACUCCUGCGGGAGGCAGCAGUAGGGAAUUUUCGUCAAUGGGCGCAAGCCUGAACGAGCGAUGCCGCGUGAGUGAAGAAGGCCUUCGGGUCGUAAAGCUCUGUUGCGGGGGAAAAAAGGCAGCAUCAGGAAAUGGGUGCUGACUGAUGGUGCCCCGCCAGAAAGUCACGGCUAACUACGUGCCAGCAGCCGCGGUAAUACGUAGGUGGCGAGCGUUAUCCGGAAUGAUUGGGCGUAAAGGGUGCGCAGGCGGUCCUGCAAGUCUGGAGUGAAACGCAUGAGCUCAACUCAUGCAUGGCUUUGAAAACUGGAGGACUGGAGAGCAGGAGAGGGCGGUGGAACUCCAUGUGUAGCGGUAAAAUGCGUAGAUAUAUGGAAGAACACCAGUGGCGAAGGCGGCCGCCUGGCCUGUUGCUGACGCUGAGGCACGAAAGCGUGGGGAGCAAAUAGGAUUAGAUACCCUAGUAGUCCACGCCGUAA
rnacentral:rRNA from 1 species